UGAUGGGCGGGGUCUGGCUCUGAGUGACGGCUGUGGCAGCCAAUGGGACAUCGAGAUGAGGGGCGGGGGCUUUGGGGACUGAGGUUGUGGAGAGGUCACUGGAAUGUAUGUGAUGGCGUUGGACCCUUGUGAGGGGAUGGAGUGAUGGACAGAUCAUUUUGAGGGAGAUGUGGUGGCUCUGGACCCUUGUGAGGGGAUGGAGUGAUGGACAGGAUAAAGCCUUACCUGAUACAACAUGGACCAGAUCUGCAGCUGGUGGGGUGAAAAGAUGGAGAUUGGAAAACAUCCUUGUCCUGGGAAUAUUGUGCAGCAAAAGGAGGGGAAAAAAACAAGUCCAGAGAACACAGGAGUCACCACUUCUGCAGAGAGAGUGAACUAAUCUUAUUUUUAAGCUUUUGAAUAGAAUAAACUGUUCAGACCAAAGCGUAACGGGGAGAAAGCGUGAAAUAACAUUUGAGGAUGAAAGUGGAACCGGAGGGGAGGGAAAAAAAAAGUACAAAGCCAGGUGGCUGCUUGCUGCGAACACUUUUAUUUAUUAAUAAACACAACACACUCCAAACAUUUGGCUGCUUGACAGAAUCCUCAAAAGUCUUGGAAAAGGAUCAAAGUUCUGCUGCUCUGCCGGGUGCACAACUCGGGGAAUAACGGUGCCUUUAUGGACGAGUGUGGAAAACUCCCUCCUGUGCCAGCAGGAGGUGGAUUUGUCCCCGAGGGUGGCGUUGGGGACACUUUUGGUGCUGCUGUCUGAGGUGCUGAAGCUGCAGAUCCCCCAGAAGGAGCUGGAAAAGCAGCUGGAGAAACCAAACUGGUUGUUACUGGUGCUGUGUUUGAACUGGGCGCUGAGAUUCUCUUUAUACCAACACAGAGCAGAGGCAUUUGAAUUUCGGGGUAAUUCUGCUCCACUGCAGCUGGGAGCUCUAGGGGUGACUUUUAAGGAUAAAAUGGAUCCACACCCAGGCUCCAGAGCUCUCAGACUGGAUUUUUAUUUGUGUUUUGUGCGAGUUUUCUCCCUCAAAUCCGGGCUGCUGCAGAGGGAAGGCGCCGUGACUCACUGGGCUCGACUGUGCAGCCAAUAUGGAAUUGAAAAAGGCAAAAGCUGGCACAAUUCCCUGCAAACGGUGCUGAGUUUCCCAUUUCCCUGCAGAUCACAAGCUGGAAUUCAUGGGCCAGAACCACAAGAAGAGAAGAAAUGCGAGUGAAUUCAUAUUUCAAACGACGUUUUCUGCUUCCAGGAGGUGAAAAUGUGCAGUGCAGCUGGGCCAUUUCUGCUGAGUUACCACGAGAGGGACACAGAAGGAAAGCUAAAGGAGCUGGGAAAGAAAGAAAGAAUCCAAGGAACAGCUCGAGGUGGGCUCAGAGCAACACAUUUCCCUUUUGUUUGGGAAUUUCCGGGAUCACAACGUUCCUACGGCUCCCUCCAUCCCAUAAAAUCCUAAAAAAUAUUCACAGGUUUAAUUGUGGGUAUGGAAAUAUUCCCAGAAAAAGUCACGAGGAUGUAACCCCAUGAAGGAAAAGGAGGAGAAGAUUUGGGCCAAAAUCCAGGGAUUUGGAAUGAAGAAAGUUCUUAGAAAUUAAGGAUGAAGUUCCCCUCUCCGAGCCAUGCCUGGAUAUUUGAUUUCCUUGGGAAAUCUCGGCCCUCUCAGCAGCUUUUGUGUCCGGGAUGCUCAACCCUGCCAGCAGAAAAGUUGCUUUUGUCAUUCCCAUUUCUCCACCUGAGGCGUGGGGUUCCUGGAAUUGUGCGAGCUUUUCCUGGAAGAAGUGGUGGAGGCCGGAAUGGCUUGUGCAGAAAGCACUCCAAGGCUGAAAAGAUGUCCAGGAGGCAGCUGGAAUUUAGGGAGAGCUCAUGGAAUUGUCUCUCCUGGUGGGUAUUUCUGCGGCUGUCGAUGUCACACCCAACGUGCUCUGGCUCCAGGGGAACUGCAAGAUCCUGACCCUGUGCUGGCCAAAAGGAGUUGGAAUUUUAUGGAGGGAACGCUGCAGAAAGGCAGAGGAUUGAUCUGCUUUCCAUCUGGAAUUGAAAUUAAAGGAACCUGGGACCACGGCAAUCAGGCCAAAUACGUGCCCUAGCAAUUUUUGGGUGGGAAGAGCAGUUCAGAUGGAGCAAGGACUGACUCUGGAUCUGUCCACGGCCCAUGACCCUGAAGAUUAUUAUGGAAAAAGAGCAGGUUUGCCCUUGAGGCUGUUUUUCAGCUCUGGGUGGGGUCGGGAGAAGGCACAGCCGGCGCUCUCCAGAGCCAGAUCAUUCCCGGGAGACUUGUGGCGCUGAGAUUUUUUCUGGAAAACUCCAGAGGUUUGGAUCAGUCUCCAUCCUCCUUCUUUCUGGAGAGCUUCCCACCCCUUGUGAGCCUGCUCACGCCGUUUUUCCAUUCCUCUGGAAGUGACAAAAAACCCCAAAACAAGCCCAGAGCCUGGAUGAUGCUGAAUUUUCCUCUGAGCUCAUCGAGGAUGUCCAGCACCAUUUGCAGAUGAGGCCAAGAAUCUGUAAUGUCUCAAAGCUGUGCAAAAUAAAACGCGUGACAAAACAUCCCUCAGCCUUCCCCGGUUUUCCAGCACAAUUCCAGUUCAUCAUUCCCGGUUUCCUCGCGUGUCUGAGCUCCCGCUGGCUGCUGCAGGGAGAGGAGCUCAUUGUUCCAGACCAGCUCCAUCCAGAGCUCGGAACCUUCAUUAUCCCGGCUGGAAAACGCCGUGAGUACUGAAGGAAAAAAUGCGGCGGCUUCCUGCGGGCUCACAGCGACCCGGCCGGGCUGGGAGCGCGCCAUGGAUAUUCCCGGGAAUGGCUUGGAGCUGGCUGGCUCUGGCAGCAUUCCC